GAGGAUUUUCCUGCAAUCCACAUCAUAUUCCUGCUGAUUUCGACACCGUUUUAAUCAUGAAAUAUUCAGUCGCAGUGUGCGCUUUAGUGAUGGUUUUGUACGCGGUUGCAUACAAAGUGGAAAGUUCUUCACUUCGUGAAGAUGUUUACUUGUGCUUGAACAAUAUUUGCCAACAAUGGUGUAGAAGAAACCACCCUGGAAUGCAAGAAGACUGUUCCUUUACGACUCCAGCUGGACCUCAUUGUCGAUGCAAGCCGCUGGCGCGACCGCUGAAGAUUUGAGGUUUAAUACAGAACACUUCUUUGAUUUUAUAAUACAAGAAAAUUAUUUAAGUUU
rnacentral:lncRNA from 1 species